CGCGUAGGCGGGCCGUCAAGUCAGGGGUGAAAUCUUUCAGCUCAACUGGAAAAGUGCCUUUGAUACUGACGGCCUCGAGGGAGGUAGGGGCGUGCGGAACUUCCGGUGGAGCGGUGAAAUGCGUAGAUAUCGGAAGGAACGCCGGUGGCGAAAGCGGCGCGCUGGACCUCUUCUGACGCUGAGGCGCGAAAGCCAGGGGAGCAAACGGGAUUAGAUACCCCGGUAGUCCUGGCCCUAAACGAUGGGUACUAGGUAGUGGCCUGAACAUGGGGUCACUGCCGAAGCAAAAGUGUUAAGUACCCCGCCUGGGGAGUAUGGUCGCAAGGCUGAA
rnacentral:rRNA from 1 species